rnacentral:rRNA from 1 species
AGUGAACGCUGGCGGUAGGCCUAACACAUGCAAGUCGAACGGCAGCACAGUAAGAGCUUGCUCUUACGGGUGGCGAGUUGCGGACGGGUGAGGAAUACAUCGGAAUCUACCUUUUCGUGGGGGAUAACGUAGGGAAACUUACGCUAAUACCGCAUACGACCCACGGGUGAAAGCAGGGGAUCUUCGGACCUUGCGCGAUUGAAUGAGCCGAUGUCGGAUUAGCUAGUUGGCGGGGGAAAGGCCCACCAAGGCGACGAUCCGUAGCUGGUCUGAGAGGAUGAUCAGCCACACUGGAACUGAGACACGGUCCAGACUCCUACGGGAGGCAGCAGUGGGGAAUAUUAGACAAUGGACGCAAGCCUGAUACAGCCAUACCGCGUGGGUGAAGAAGGCCUUCGGGUUGUAAAGCCCUUUUGUUGGGAAAGAAAAGCAGCAGGUUAAUACCCCGCUGUUCUGACGGUACCCAAAGAAUAAGCACCGGCUAACUUCGUG